CCCUCCGCGUGCCGCUGGUUUAUCUGUGCAGAGAGGGACACCCAAAGGGGGACAGUGAGCCCACUGUGUCUUUUAGAACCCAAAGCGAGUUACUGCAAACCUCAGGCAAUUGAAGUGAAUAUUGGCUAGCUCAAAAGGCUGUGAAGAUGACCACCGUAUCUAUCUGAGUAAUUUUUUUCUUCUGUCUCAGUCUUGAAAUCAGGCAUGGUUAUUUUUAUUUUCGGUGUAUGCAGGCUUAACCUAUGUGCUUAUAUUCACAAUGAACUCUUGAAUCGGAUCCUCUGUGUUUUGCUGGGGAGUAUUCAUUCCCCACUUGACCUGCUUUGUUGCUCAAAACUUUGUAGCUCAUCUUUGCCUUCCCGUCUGUUUAUUCUUGGUGUGGGGUUGUCAAGGAGAAAUGUUGGAAGGGAGAGAAGGGAGCAGGCAUCAUAGAUGGUAUUACAGGCGGCUGGUCUCUCCUCUCUCAGCCAACUAUGAGAACUAUUUGGGAUUGAAGGAGAUAAGCUACAGCAAGUCGUUACUUGUCCUGAAUGCACGACCUUCUUUCUUUGAGCAAGAGGACAAACCUGGGUAGGGAUCUCUAUGAUGUUUUCUGCGUUGCCCGUGGACGUUCAUCUUUCUGAUUUGUUAGCUGAAGAUGAGGAUCUGGAGCAGGAGCUCGGAGUGCCAUUGUUCCAUGGGCAGAUGUGCAGCAGAGAUUAGCAUUAGGAAGACAAGCAGGGCCUUCAGUAGGCAUAAGGUGAUGAGGUUCAUGCCGUUGGAUCCCACGGGUGCCCUGGGGAAGAGAUGGUUGGGAAGUCUGAGAGGAAGCAGGAGAGCUUUCGGAGCACAUGGAUGCCGUCCAGAAUGGAGAUGGUUGUGGCUCGGAAGAAAAAGAAAUCACCCAGCUCGGAGUCAGGAUACAUUUGGAGGUCCAGGCCGCCGAGUUUGCUGGUGGGGAAGAUAGGCACCAGAAAGGAAAGAGGACAUCCAGGGCAAUUUCUUCUGCCCCCCAGCCAAUCCGUACAUUGUCCAGAGGCCAAGCCUACUGCUGUUAGAAAACAUAUUUAGAAAUCACUUGGUUCUUCCUUGCCUGAACAUCAUCUAUUUAGUUAGCUUGUGUUGUUUAGAUGUGCUUCAGAUCUCAAAAAAAUAAAUUAUGUUAUUUGAAAGCUUGCUCUCUGCUUGUUUACACUAUUAAUUUAGAGUCCAGAGGAAUCUCUAAAUUUGCCUCUAGAAACCACAUAAUCACCUAAUAAUACCUUUCCUGACUCCACUUUCUGACACAAAGUGACUUUUGAAACGCUUCCAUCUUCCCUUUCUAUUUAAUGUACUGCACUCCACUCUUUUUUCCUUUCGUUUUUUCUACAGUCCGUCAUGGAGUAUUUGUUUACCAAAUGUUACUUUUCUUGGAUCCAAUCUAUUUUUGAAGAGCGCAAAAGCAAACAACUGUUUGAAGCUGUCAAGCUUCAUUUUAUUUAUGCAUGAAUAACACAAAUAACUUGAAAAUGACCUAGUCUGUUUUUCUCAGAUUUAGAUAGAAAAACUGCUUCCGGCCAAUGUUUAUGCCAAUUUGUUCAUGCCAAGUUUCCAGUUUCGGUGCCAACCGGUUUUUACAGCCAAGUUGUAAACCUUCGGUAAACAUGGCUUAUAAUGAAAAGUGCAACACAGCCUGAACCCUGGCACCAGGGGACGGAUGUAAAUUUAUUCUAAGAACAAAAUUCUAACAGGAACAGGAGGGGAGCUAGGCUGGCUACAAAGUGUUCCCACCGUAAUAUGGAAAAUGUACAGAUGAUGAUAUAUUUGAUUACUAAGAUCCCAUUAGGCCAAUUUAGGCACUUUAUGUAUUUCCUUUGCUCUGGACGCUGAGUGGUUUCAUGCUCAAUUUGAAGCAACUGGCUCAUUGUCUCAGGGUGGUUCUAGAACUUUGCCUUCAGGUGGGGCUGGGGAGGGAGCC
rnacentral:lncRNA from 10 species